rnacentral:rRNA from 1 species
AUGAGUUCGUCAUAUGACUUUUCCGAAGAAGAAUUUGAUAUGGAAGAGGAGGAGGAUCUUGCAAUGAUCCUAGCUAUGCACAUCAAUAAAAAACCGAAGCAUGGUGGUUCGGUUAUGGGUCGGCAGAAAAUAUGGAGAGAUAGGAUUGAUGCCCACAACAGAUUGAUGAGGCACUAUUUUGUGGAGAAUCCCACAUACCCCGAGUCGUACUUUCGUCGCCGGUUUAGGAUGAGCACCGAGUUGUUGAGGCGCAUUGCAGAGAAACUAGCGAGCCAUGACCGGUUUUUUCAGCAGAGGAGGAAUGCCGCCGGAGAGCUUGGGCAUAGCACCUUUCAGAAUGUGACAGCCGCUUUGCGUAUGUUGGCAUACGGUAUCCCCGCAGAUCUAAUUGAUGAUCACUUGGCCAUGGGUGAGAGCCAAGCCAUCAUGUGUGUCAAGCGCUUCGCAGUCGGAAUUGUACAAGUGUUUGGCCCGGAGUACUUCAGAACUCCCAAUGCUGAAGAUGUCGCAAGGCUAUUGGAGAUGAACAAAGCUCGCGGGUUCCCAGGUAUGCUUGGCUCAAUAGAUUGCAUGCAUUGGAGUUGGAAGAAUUGUCAAAAGGCAUGGCAUGGACAAUUCCAUGGACAAAAAAAGGGUUCCUCUAUAAUCCUUGAAGCGGUGGCCGAUCAAGAGACUUGGAUUUGGCAUGCCUUUUUUGGAAUGCCUGGAUCUUUGAAUGACAUCAACGUUGUCAACCGGUCAACACUGAUGAGUAAGAUUGCAAAUGGUGAACUGCGACCGGUGCAGUUUGUAGCUAAUGGUCGUACAUACAACCAUGGCUACUAUCUUGUGGAUGGCAUCUACCCAAAGUGGCAAACAAUUGAGAAGCCGUUGAAAAAACCAGAAGGUAAAAAAUAUCUUAAUUUCCACAAUGCUCAGGCGGCGGCUAGAAAAGAUGUGGAGAGUGCUUUUGGGAUUUUGCAAGCCCAAUUUGCUACUAUGAGAGGACCGGCUAGAUUUUGGGAUCAGAAGAUGCUUUGGUACAUAAUGCAUGCUUGUGUGAUCAUGCACAACAUGAUCAUCGAGAAUGAGCAUGGCCAAGAUGUAGACUACUCUCACUAUGAGCUCUUGGGACAUCCCGUGCGAGUGCGGCGGAGGGCUGAAAGGGUGGCCCAUUUUGUUGCCUCAUAUCAUGCC